rnacentral:rRNA from 1 species
GAUGAACGCUGGCGGCGUGCCUAAUACAUGCAAGUCGAGCGAACGGACGAGAAGUUUGCUUCUCUGACGUUAGCGGCGGACGGGUGAGUCACACGUGGAUAACCUACCUAUAAGACUGGGAUAACUUCGGGAAACCGUAGCUAACACCGGAUCAUAUUUUGAACCGCAUGGUUCAAUAGUGAAAGACGGUCUUGCUGUCACUUAUAGAUGGAUCCGCGCUGCAUUAGCUAGUUGGUAAGGUAACGGCUUACCAAGGCAACGAUGCGUAGCCGACCUGAGAGGAUGAUCGGCCACACUGGAACUGAGACACGGUCCAGACUCCUACGGGAAGCAGCAGUAGGGAAUAUUCCGCAAUGGGCGAAAGCCUGACGCAGCAACGCCGCGUGAGUGAUGAAGGUCUUCGGAUCGUAAAACUCUGUUAUUAGGGAAGAACAGAUGUGUAAGUAAAUGUGCACAUCUUGACGGUACCUAAUCAGAAAGCCACGGCUAACUACGUG